UUAAGUAACAUGUUACUGCCCAACACUGAUAAUAAAUAUAUUAAAGUGAUACUGUAGUUGACAUGGACUAAAGCCACCAAACUCUUGAUUUCCAAAGAUCAAUCGAUCAAGUCAAAAAAAAAAAAGAGAAAAAGAUUACAAAUGCCAUUGUUAUAAUAGAUAGAUAAUUUGUUUGCAUGUUUGCUUAUGUAUUUAUCUAUUUGAAACCUUUUAAUAAUGUGAAAUCUUUUUUCUCAGCUCAGAGUUAAUGUUAGUGAAGAUUUUGUGCAUUCUUGUGACACCACCAGCCAGUCAGCAUCAAUACCGUCAACCUGACAGCAAUCAACUGAAUGCCUAUUUUAUCCAAAACUACAGCUGUAAAUCAGUGCAUGAGUAUGAGUGGUAAGGUUUGCUUGUUUGCAUUUUGCAUUUCAAAAUUCACUGGAACUUUGCAGUCAUGGCAUAGACCAGCAGAUUCUGUCACAGCAAAAAGUUCACUGGAUACAUGCAUGUACAUACACACAAAUAUUACAUGCACAAAAUGUCCAGUGGGAUUACUAACAUUCCUGCCUGUCUCUUUUCAGAAAGUUCCUCCCAGAUUAAAACUUCCCUGUGGUUGGAAGAAAAAAAAGAAAAGAAAAACUAGCUCCCACACCCACCCACCCAGACAGUACCAUCCACACAGAGAGUCUGGUGAAGACCUUGGAGACCCAGUUGAGAUCUCUUUCGAAUGGUGGUCUCACUCUCAGGGGAAACGUACAUUUACUGCCUAAUUACCGACGCCUGAGGAAAGCCAGAGACAUGAAGGCUUUCCAAAAAUACAGAUAGCUUUUUCUGUGGCUUAUUAAUUCUUCACAUGCAUCCUGCCCCAGGUAAGACAUAAUGGAGCCUGUCGCAGCUCCAGCUGGAUAAUUGCGGGUUUGAGGGUGUUCUUCCCUAAACAGAUAGUGACUGGUGAGCUUUACCACAUGUUUCAUCCUAAGCAGUGUCUCAACAGUGUCAUUGGACAUGCUGGAAAUGGAGACUUUGAGGGGAAAAAGAACAAAGCAGCUUUUGCUUUGAGCCUGGAGGCUUUGCUUGACAACAAUGCAACAUAACAGCUCUUAUCUGAAAAUGAAAAGAGGGAGACAUACGUAAAACUGGUUGUGCAACUAACCAUAUCAUUGUGAACAAAGUAAAUAGGCAUAUCCUCUUUUAAAGGGAAUGAGAAACGCUGCCAAUAUCUUUGGUUGAUGUUAAAGGUGCUUCAUUGCUCUUAGUUGGACAGAGGCUGAUUUGAAUAGGUUGUGUGUCAUCCCAUCAUCUUCAAAAUCCAAGAACAAAACUGUGCAAAGCAAUUAUGACCCAAAUUGCAUUGGUGGUUUGUGCUAAAGUGUGCUAAAUUAAGUGGUAAAUUAUUUGAAGCAUGAAAUCUCCAAUAUAAUUGAAUAGAAUGAUUCAAAACAAGUUUCAAAUCUAUAUUAGCAAUAUAUUUAUUCCUUUUUUAUAUUUAAAAAAUAUAGUGUGAAAUACAUUAAAACAUUUUUUUUUUAUUACUCUUUUGAGUCGCCGUUUAUUUCCAAUGUAAAAUCUCGAUCCUGGGUCAAAACCACUGAUGUAGUUCAUUCACUAAGCCGAAAGUCCAGGGUUGCCAUAACCUCAUCUCUGGCCAAAAGUCAAGUAUGUAAAAACAUUUCACUCAAUGGCAUGCAUGGAAAAAAGCAAGAAUGGAUGAGGAGAAGUAAUGAAAUAAAAGAUUGGGGCCAAGUGCGAGAAGGAAACUCAAGAGUUCUUGACCAUGCAGCCACACAGCGCUCAUUGACUCAAACAUGCAAUAGGUGUGGCACAGUGGCAGAGAGCGGAAACCAAAACCAAAUGGUAAUAAGUUCAGAUGGAGCGAGGCCUCUGUUGAGCCAGCCGAACGAGGGCUGUAAAUCAUGCAACUGGGCGUGUUCCGAGCGACUUCAGGAACGGCACUCAAUCGUACACCGCAGACGGAGAGCCAGACACAGGAAGAAGGACUAUACGGGCAGUGCCAUGACUGAAGUUCACAGGUCUCUGAUGACAAACCGUAAUGGAGAGAGACGCUAACCAGUAUCAGCUGCCGCAAUGGCACACCAGCCCGGCCGACAGAAACAUGAGAGGCCCGUUGUACGGUUUGGGUUGAUCCAGGCGAAUGGGCUGUUAACUGCUCAGGGAGAGGGAGAGCAGCCAUACAGCUGCGCCAGUGUGACUUCUCAUUUUUAUUUGAAAACAGAGAAAUGAAACCAUAAGACACACAAUGGUUCUCACACACCUCAAACUACAUAGAGGUUCUCAAAUCCCAUCCUGAAGAUUAUGGUUUUGAGUAGCAGCUAAUAAAGGCAUUCCUUCCGAAGUGUAUACCUCAAGCCUGUUUAGUAAAGUGUUAAAGGGAUAGUUAAUUCACUCACCAUCAUGAUGUCACAAACCCGAAUGAGUUUCUUAUUUCUGUUGAACACAAAAGAAAAUAUUUUGAAGAAUGUGGCUAACUAAAUAGUUGACGGUUGCCAUUGAAAACACAGGUCUGAUUUUAUUCUUAUAAUCUGUGCCAUCUAGAGUUUCAUGACUGAACUAGAUACUUGUCAUAUACACUGCCACCACCAUGGCCAAUUUUGUCCCCAGCGCUUUAUUACAUUUUGAAUUUCAUUAUAAAGUUUUCAUUUUAUUAGUGGGUGUUACAAUCUGGCUGUCAUUUUAGUUAGUAAUAGUAUGAUGAUUUAUCAUUGGUUCAAAUCAACAGUUCAUUUGAACACUUUCAACAAGAUCAAUUGCUACCUUAAAUCAUUGUGUAAUAAGAACUAAAAUGGUGAUAUAAUGUCACUCGUUAUGCUAUUGGAAUUAUUUGAAGCAGUUUAUUUCUAAUCAUAUUGUUUUCAAUAAAUUACGAGCACUGGACUUGAAAUUCUCAGAUGCAGACUGGAUUUCUGGAUCAAGACGUCAUACCCCAACCCUGUUUCUGGAGGCCCCCCAACACUACACAUUUUGGAUAUCUCCCUUAUCAAAAACACCCUUUUUAGAUCUUGGAGUUCUUUACUAACAGGCUAAUGAGCUGAAUCAGGUGUGUUUGAUUAGAAAGACAUCUACAAUAUGUGCUGUUGGGGAGCCUCCAGGAACAGUGUUGGGAAACAUUGACAUAGAGCAUGUUUACUCACAUGAUCCUAUGCUGAAUAUGCCAAAUGACCCAAAAGGAACAGGUCUUGGAAACGCCUUAAACAGUAAACAGUCAGUUUAUGUAAAACUGUUUAUUGCCUAUUACCCCAGAUUCAUAUAGCAUGUA